UCCAGACUCCUACGGGAGGCAGCAGUGGGGAAUAUUGGGCAAUGGGCGCAAGCCUGACCCAGCAACGCCGCGUGAAGGAAGAAGGCUUUCGGGUUGUAAACUUCUUUUCUCAGGGACGAAGCAAGUGACGGUACCUGAGGAAUAAGCCACGGCUAACUACGUGCCAGCAGCCGCGGUAAUACGUAGGUGGCAAGCGUUAUCCGGAUUUACUGGGUGUAAAGGGCGUGUAGGCGGGGACGCAAGUCAGAUGUGAAAUCCGGGGGCUCAACCCCCGAACUGCAUUUGAAACUGUAGGUCUUGAGUAUCGGAGAGGCAGGCGGAAUUCCUAGUGUAGCGGUGAAAUGCGUAGAUAUUAGGAGGAACACCAGUGGCGAAGGCGGCCUGCUGGACGACAACUGACGGUGAGGCGCGAAAGCGUGGGGAGCAAACAGGAUUAGAUACCCGAGUACAG
rnacentral:rRNA from 1 species